AGCAGGGCAUGGGUUUUUGAAGAAGACUAAACAGGGAGCUGCAUAAUUUAUAGAAAAACUGCACGAUGGACUUUUUCUUCACAAAGAACAUCGGGCUUGCCUUGGCACAAGCCAAAUACCUUUUUAAUGAAUAGUCAGUAAUCAGCAGCAGCUACACUCCUGCAGUUGACUUUCUCAUAUUUGGAAAAAUGGCAGAGGUUGUUCCUACAGAGCGAAAGCUAAACCUUGCCGUUGGAGAAUCACCUUCCUGACCAAGGUAUUCCCUCGCCCAAGAGGUGCACCAGGCUGCUUUCUGGACACUGUGCUUUCCGGACACUGUGCUUUCCAAGUGUGCCUGAACAUUAGCUCAAUCCAGUUCAAGGUUCCAUGCCAAAGGAUGCAGGUUUUACCUGGUGUGCGCUGUUCUCCCGGUGGCUGGAGGAUCAAGUGGAAACAUGCUAUACCUCUUGAGGGCUCAGAUUAGGAUUGAAAGGAAGCUUCAGGAAGGAUUUCCUAGGAAGUAAGGAGAGGAAGAAAGAAAGAAAUGUGCAUAUAUGGGGAAGUAUACUUGCCUGUUCCACUGUGAGAUCACUUGGCAAAAGAUGUGGGCUUAAUUCUAUUAUGAGUAGAGAACUCCAGAAUCUGUCACACAGGAUACGUGUGUAACGUAAUGACAUAAUGUGUUCAGUCUGAGGGAUGUUAAUUCUAGGUAUCUCUAGUGCAUCUAAGUGGACAUGUAGACAAUUGAAUAGUUGGGUCAAGAAUAAUAUCGGAGCUGGACUUAUGACUUUGUUGGUCAUUGGGUGUAAGUAAUAAAUAAAACCAUGGAAACA
rnacentral:lncRNA from 1 species